UGGGGAAUAUUGCACAAUGGGCGGAAGCCUGAUGCAGCAACGCCGCGUGCGGGAUGACGGCCUUCGGGUUGUAAACCGCUUUCGCCUGUGACGAAGCGUGAGUGACGGUAAUGGGUAAAGAAGCACCGGCUAACUACGUGCCAGCAGCCGCGGUGAUACGUAGGGUGCGAGCGUUGUCCGGAUUUAUUGGGCGUAAAGGGCUCGUAGGUGGUUGAUCGCGUCGGAAGUGUAAUCUUGGGGCUUAACCCUGAGCGUGCUUUCGAUACGGGUUGACUUGAGGAAGGUAGGGGAGAAUGGAAUUCCUGGUGGAGCGGUGGAAUGCGCAGAUAUCAGGAGGAACACCAGUGGCGAAGGCGGUUCUCUGGGCCUUUCCUGACGCUGAGGAGCGAAAGCGUGGGGAUCGAACA
rnacentral:rRNA from 1 species